rnacentral:rRNA from 1 species
UACGUAGGGGGCAAGCGUUGUCCGGAUUUAUUGGGCGUAAAGGAGCGAGUGUAGGCGGUCCGGUAAGUCGGCUGUGAAAGUCCAGGGCUCAACCCUGGGAUGCCCGGUCGAUACCUGCCGGACUAGAGUUACGGAAGAGGCGAGUGGAAUUCCCGGUGUAGCGGUGAAAUGCGCAGAUAUCGGGAGGAACACCUAUGGCGGAAGGCAGCUCGCUGGGACGUUACUGACGCUGGAGAACGCGAAAGCGUGGGGAGCAAACAGGAUUGAGAUACCCGGAGUAGAUCCA